AGGAAUACCGGCGAGAAAUCGCCGACAAUACCGCAUAAGGUCCCUCUUGCGAGGGAGCAAAGCCGCAAGGCGCUGGGGGAGGGGUCUGCGUCCGAUUAGCUAGCUGGUGGGGUAAUGGCUCACCAGGGCGACGAUCGGUAGCUGGUCUGAGAGGAUGAUCAGCCACACUGGGAUUGAGAACGGCCCAGACUCCUACGGGGGGCAGCAGUGAGGAAUCUUCGGCAAUGGGGGCAACCCUGACCGAGCAACGCCGCGUGCAGGAAGAAGGUUUUCGGAUCGUAAACUGCUUUUCUGUGGGACGAGCAGGACGGUACCCAGGAAGAAGCCCCGGCCUACUACGUG
rnacentral:rRNA from 1 species